AAUUUUGUUUGAGUGAUGAAUGUUGCUGUCAUGAAAACCUAGCAUAUUUCUAGAAAUCCAGUUCAAAUAUGCAUGAGUGUUGAUGGCUGUUACUGUUGGUAAUUACAUGAAUCAUUGCUUUUGCCAUUUGUCCACCAUUUUGUUUGAAUUUGGCAUGCUGUUAAUGAACCAUGGAUUUGAAUGUUGAAUGCUGUUGUUGUUUGUUGUAUGAUCCUCACCAUUGCCAUGUUG
rnacentral:lncRNA from 1 species